CCAAAGCCUUUCAGGUGUAUGAGCAGGGAUUCCUGAACAGAUGUCACCUCGUAUUCACCUAACGUGGAGCUGCAACAACAAAACAAAACCAGCUUUGUUUUGUUGCCAUUGCUGCAGAAAGGUGCAUAAUAAAAAGCUCCAAUUUUCCUGUUCCCCCAUUCACUACCGCCAUUCUCCCAGAUGUACUUGCUAGUUUGUGUUUUGUUUUUGUUUUUUUAUCACGGCUCAAUUUCACCUAUUUCGAUUAUUCCUCAAGGCAUUCGAGUAGCUUGGAUGUGCCUGACAGAAAGAUGAAGACUUUUUUUUUGAAAAGCAAGGAACGGGAGACGUGCUGGCUAGGUGAGAUAACUCCUCCACACCGAGAUACUCUCGGCUCAUUGGCCGGGUGAUGGAACACAGGGCACCAAUCAAAUGCUGCAUCAUUAGUCGUGGCCAUCAUGAGGCGAGGCAGCGCGCUUAUCUGGUCUUACUGAUCCUGCACUGUCCUAAAGCAUCCUUCACAUCCAGCAACUCUCCUGAAAACCACUCGGCUCGAGGCUGUCUGCAUAAUGACCCCGUUUUGUUCAACACCUAAUUUCUCUUUAAAUGUGCAGCAAUCGUACUUGUUUGAGACACAACUCAGCCUCUCACAAUGGCUGACAAAGUAAAAAAAAAGAUUGUUUUAGAAGGAUUUUGCAUAUCUGCAUUAGAGCUCCUUCACUCUGUUGGCUGGGCAGGAUUUAAUUUGUAUGAAUGUGGUUAGUAAUUACACUUCAGCCACAGUUCUUCUUGUUGAAUAAAAAUGUCUCCUCUCUCUUGUUCGGGGGUGCAAAUUGCCCACUCAAUUUCCAACACUUAAAAGCAUCUUCCAUCAGCUUGGAUGAUGGAAGAUGACUUAACCUGUGUGCAAGUGUACAUGUGUUUGCACAUGUCUGUGUCGAAGCCUGUUAACGUUAAUGUGUCUACAAGAGGUACAAGCAUUUAUCUGUCUACUCGACCGAAAGAAGAAAAAAAUGAGAAGAGGGAAGGGAGUAUUCUGACAAUAAAAAGGCGUGAAUGAAUGGUUGAACAAACACUUUGACAAAAAUUCACAUUCAUGCCAAGAGUUAGUGGACAAGACAUCACAAUCAUGUUCAACGUUACAGACAGCAGCUGGUUAGCUUAGCUUAGCACAAAGACUGAAAACAAGAAGAUAAUAUAAUAAAAUGAUCCAACCAGCACCUGUGUUCUCACAAUUAACAUGCAUUAUUUGGAUUUCUUUGUUUUCUUAUAGACCCUCUCCAGUUUAAAUCCAGUUUUUUUGCCUUGUUAACAUGUUUAUAUGGUGUUUGCUAUACAGUAAAGGGCACAUCAUGAGGAAAACAAGUGGUCAAAACUCUGGCUGAGCACUUCCACCUCGAAACUGCAGUGUGCGCAUGACACAACACAAACUAAGACUUUCAGGGUUUCACACACUGCAAACUUAAAGAACCAACCCUGUGAACUUUCCGAGUGGGGCUUUCUGUAUCAUUAUUAUUUCAGGGUUUCUUUUGGAAUCAGGGUCCUUUUCAAACAUGUAUGGCUAAAUUAUUCCACCACUACAACUUUCCAUUUUAAGGCACAGAGUAGUUUAACAGUUUGUGAGCAGAGUUAUUUGUCAGCCGGUGCACUUGAGCUGCAGUGAGUGGUGGAUGGGUGGGUGUAGACAGAAGCUCAUAAAUCUGUGCAUUAUAGAGAAAGCAAUGGUAUGGUGCUAUGUGAACCCAUAUUAACAGAGGAAAUUAGCAUUUUUAUGGUUAAAAAAAAAUAAAAAAAUACACAACUGU